GUUUCUCUUCAGAAGUAUAAAUCUUUUGCCUUUUACUAAAGAUUUCCACAGAGAGGAACAAUUUA
rnacentral:snRNA from 1 species